rnacentral:lncRNA from 1 species
UUUUUUUUUUAAUUGAAGUAUAAUUGACUUACAAUGUUGUGUUAAAGUCUGCUGUACAGCGAAGUGACUCAGUUAUAUACGUAUAUACAUUCUUUUAUUCUUUUCAUUAUGGCUUAUCCAUGAUACUGAAUGCAGUUCCCUGUGCUAUACAGAAGGAACCUGUUGUUCAUCCAUCCUAUAUGUAACAGUUUGCAUCUACUAAUCCCAAACUCCCAAGCCAUCCUUCCCCCUUGGCAGCCACAACUCUUGUUUUCUAUGUCUGUGAGUCUGUUUAUGUUUUGUAGAUAAGUUCAUUUGUAGCAUAUCUUAGAUUCCACAUAAUAAGUGAUAUCAUGUAGUAUUUGUCUUUCUCUUUCCGACUUACUUUACUUAAUACGAGAGUCUCUAGUUGCACCCAUCUUGCUGCAAAUGGCAUUAUUUCAUUCUCUCCUGUGGCUGAGCAGUAUUCCAUUGUAUAUAUGUACCACAUCUUCUUUAUAUCAUGGGAUUCUUAAGGCAGAAAACUCCAUGGUACAUAUAUGAAAUAGAUGUUGAUUCAUUUUUAAAAUAUACUUUUCAUUCACACUUUGAAGAAACAAUUGUUUCCUAUAGAAAAGUACUUUUGUGAGUUAUAUGUCCUGUUGCUACUUGAUGCCUGUUGACUUGAUCCCAAGGGACUUAAAAAAUAUAAAAUAAUGGAGUUUCUGCUGUGGCACAGUGGGUUAAGAAUCUGACUACAGUGGCUCACGUCACUGUGGAGGCUCAGGUUCCAUCCCCUGCCCAACACAGUGGGUUAAAGGAUCCGGCAUUGCUGCAGCUGCAGCUUGGAUUCAGUCUCUGGCCUGGGAACUUGCAUAUGCAGCCGUGCAGUCAUGUAUAUAUAAACUAAAUAUCAAAAUCUGAGAAAACUGAAGCCCUGUGAGAUAAAUUACUGACCAAUUCAAAUUCAAAAUAUGUCUUUUGUACAAAAAUUCUUCGUAAUGUUAGUGACCAUCUCAGAGUGAAAUAUCACUCAAAGUUGUCUAUUCACACAACUGUUUGUGGUAACAUCGAUAUCUUUUUCUUUGUUUUGUGGGAAAAAAAAAACUGACAAGCUCUGAAGGGGGAAAGAGUGGGAGUUGUGUGGGAGAGAAGUUUGUUUUUCUUCUUUCAGAUCUUUUCAUGACACAGCGUGGACUCUGACAGUCCCUCUCAGACCCACGAGCGUCUCGUGUGAACCAAAAUAGUGCUUCUCCCUUAAGGAGACCCCUGCUGCUUUUUCGUGUUACUUUGAAAUAUUUGCCAUGAAAUCUGACUGUCACCCCUGUUCAAAGAGAGCUUGGAGAAAUCCUUGGUCUCCCAGGCACUGGCGAGACGGAAGCCCCUUUGGGGGAAGUUUGGAAUGGCCGGGAACAGGCAGUGGUGGUUCGGCUGGCGGGGUUGGCCCGGGGUUGCACGCUCGCUGGCUUGGGGGCAAAGAGGACGCUGCUCCUAGCUGUUCAGCCAAAGAGGUGGAUACUACCAUGAGCCCCGUUUCAUAGAUGAAGUAGUAGCAGCCAGAGGGGCUCCCUGUGGAGAUGAGCUGUGGAGGCUCUUUCUAGCUCCACUGCAUUGUGAAAGGAACCACCAGGACGAACCCUCUGUCCUCAUUUGAAAAGUGUCUCCCCCUUCAAGUUAAGAAAAAUGUUUAGUGUAUUAUUGGCCAAACUGAGUAAACUUCCUUGGGCUGUGCCCAAGGAAGAGCAGGAGAGCGGGGAAGCAGAGGGCACGGCUGCCACUCCUCCAUGUGAACUGGUGACUGGACAGUGGCUGUGAGUGGGAGAGGAGGGGCAGGCAGGGCGGGCAAGGACACAGAAGGAGAGCUCUGAUUCUGGGGUUGCAGUGGUGAAAUUCACUGUAAA